AAAGGAUGGAAGGAAGGAGGAAGUGGACAAUGAGCCCAGAGCCCUCACCUGAGUUCCAAACAUUUAAGUCAAACUGCCAACUUCAUUCUCCAUUUGGACGAUUUCUCAACAUGUACAAAACCAAGUCCUGAUUUUUCCGUGACCCCAAAUCUGUUCUAUCUGAAGCCUCCCUAUCUCAGUUACUGAUCCUGGCUGAUGGAUGUAAUGAAGGCAUGAACUAUACUAGUUGAACAAGGAAAUGAACUUGAACCAAAUUGUGAAGUUCUCUGCAGUGAAAUAUUAAAGAUUAGCAAGCUAAACAGAGAAAAAGAUAACACUCAAGAAACUGCCUAUAUGUAAGAGAUUCCUUUGAGAACUUUCAAAUGGCUCCUUUCUACAAAAGACCUGAGAAUACUUAACCCCCCACCACUAGCACACUCAAAGCUCAAGGCAAAUGCAUUUUCAAGAUUGACAGGGUCUUGGACUCUGAAAGUCUUUGGACCCAAGAAAAAUCGUGUUAUCUAAGAGAGCAGUUAUUCUGACACAGACUGAUAUCAGGUGCCUGUGGCAUGAAACACGGAAGAGAAUAAUAGCAUCUACCUUAUAAGAAGACAUACUAUAUUCUGGACCACAUAUCUGAUAAUUCUUACAGCCCUUUAAAGAUAAUCAUAACUAGAAUAUUAUCUUAUUUUGUAGCUCAUAGAUGUCAAAAGACUAGCUCAUAAUUUUAUUGCGGAUACAUAGCAGAACCAAGAUUUGAACUCAGACCUGUCUCAUUCCACAACUCAUUUUCCUUGAAGUCAAUAGAUGCCACUGAUCUCUAAAUACCUACAAAAGGGGCUCGGAGGUGGAGAGGGGAUGUCUGAGGAGCCUUAGGACUACCACCCAAUGUUCUGUCUUUAGAUAGAGAUGCUAUCACCAAUCUCUCUUUCACACAUACUCCUCCUCUUCUCAUUUCUGUUCGUGUACUUGGUUCUCAGUGUAAGAUUUUGUUAGAAGAAAGAGGCAUGU